AUUGAACGCUGGCGGCAUGCUUUACACAUGCAAGUCGAGCGGCAGCGCGGGGGCAACCCUGGCGGCGAGCGGCGAACGGGUGAGUAAUGCAUCGGAACGUAUCCUCGAGUGGGGGAUAACCCAGCGAAAGUUGGGCUAAUACCGCAUGAGCUCUGAGGAGGAAAGCGGGGGACCUGCGAGGGCCUCGCGCUGGAGGAGCGGCCGAUGUCCGAUUAGCUAGUUGGUGGGGUUAAGGCUUACCAAGGCGACGAUCGGUAGCUGGUCUGAGAGGAUGAUCAGCCACACUGGGACUGAGACACGGCCCAGACUCCUACGGGAGGCAGCAGUGGGGAAUUUUGGACAAUGGGGGCAACCCUGAUCCAGCCAUGCCGCGUGAGUGAAGAAGGCCUUCGGGUUGUAAAGCUCUUUCGGACGGAACGAAAUGGGCGGGACUAAUACUCCUGUCUGAUGACGGUACCGUAAGAAGAAGCACCGGCUAACUACGUG
rnacentral:rRNA from 1 species